CGUGGGUAACCUGCCAAGAGAUCGGGAUAACACCUGGAAACAGAUGCUAAUACCGGAUAACAACAGAUGAUGCCUAUCAACUGUUUAAAAGAUGGUUCUGCUAUCACUCUUGGAUGGACCUGCGGUGCAUUAGCUAGUUGGUAGGGUAACGGCCUACCAAGGCGAUGAUGCAUAGCCGAGUUGAGAGACUGAUCGGCCACAUUGGGACUGAGACACGGCCCAAACUCCUACGGGAGGCAGCAGCC
rnacentral:rRNA from 1 species